GUGGCUAUAGUUUAGUGGUAAAACCCAAGUUUGUGGAACUUGAGUCGAGAGUUCAAUUCUCUCUAGCCACC
rnacentral:tRNA from 1 species